rnacentral:rRNA from 1 species
AGCGACAGAAGAAGCACCGGCUAACUCCGUGCCAGCAGCCGCGGUAAUACGGAGGGUGCGAGCGUUAAUCGGAAUUACUGGGCGUAAAGACGCAUGCAGGUGGUUUGUUAAGUUCAGAUGUGAAAGACCCGGGGCGUCAACCUCGGAAUAGCAUUUGUAAACUAGGCAGACUAGAGUACUGUAGAGGGGGUAGGAAUUUCAGGUGUAGCGGUGAAAUAGCGUAGAGAUCUGAAGGAAUACCGGUGGCGAAGGCGGCCCCUCGGACAGAUACUGACACUCAGAUGCGAAAGCGUGGGAGCAAACAGGAUUAGAUACCCUGGUAG